AGAUUUUGUUGUAAAAAGUUUGGAAGACUUUCUUACACAAAAGUCUCGGCUUUCAUCUAUCUAACUCCGUUCUUCAGACUAAAGGAAAGAUAGACAGACGGACAGACUGACAAAUUACUGUUAUUUUUGAAUACAACGUCUACUUGGACGGGGAUAACGGGUUUAAAACCAAAGCUUAGUUAUGAAACCAAAUCAUCGGUACGAACUAUUAAAUUUACCGAAAAAAGAUAUAUCUUGUGAUAGUUUUGAAGAAAUCGGAGAAAAAAAGGUAAAUAUUAUAUUAAAUUACAUAUUUGUAAGGUUUAUAUAUUUAUUUUUAAUAUUAGUAAGUUACAUGCAUAAGAGAUUUGACAUAUUUGACUAUAUUUGAAUGUUUA